rnacentral:rRNA from 1 species
GAGUUUGAUCAUGGCUCAGAUUGAACGCUGGCGGCAUGCCUUACACAUGCAAGUCGAACGGCAGCGGGGGAGCUUGCUCCCGCCGGCGAGUGGCGAACGGGUGAGGAAUGCGUCGGGACGCGCCGAUCAGAGGGGGAUAACUGCCUGAAAGGGUGGCUAAUACCGCAUAUUCUCUGAGGAGGAAAGCGGGGGACCGCAAGGCCUCGCGCUGAUUGAGCGGCCGACGCCGGAUUAUCUUGUUGGCGGGGUAAAGGCCCACCAAGGCGAUGAUCCGUAGCGGGUCUGAGAGGAUGAUCCGCCACAUUGGGACUGAGACACGGCCCAGACUCCUACGGGAGGCAGCAGUGGGGAAUAUUGGACAAUGGGGGCAACCCUGAUCCAGCCAUGCCGCGUGUCUGAAGAAGGCCUUCGGGUCGUAGAGGACUUUUGCCGGGGAAGAAGAGGCGGGGCGGACAAUGUCCCGGCGUUGACCGCCCGGAGAAUAAGCGCCGGCUAACCACGUGCCAGCAGCCGCGGUAAUACGUGGGGCGCGAGCGUUAAUCGGAAUGACUGGGCGUAAAGGGCGCGCAGGCGGUUUGUCAAGCCGGACGUGAAAUCCCGGGGCUCAACCCCGGAAUGGCGUUUGGAACUGGCAGGCUGGAGCGCGGCAGAGGAGGGUGGAAUUCCGCGUGUAGCGGUGGAAUGCGUAGAGAUGCGGAAGAACACCGAUGGCGAAGGCAGCCCUCUGGGCCGCAGCUGACGCUGAGGCGCGAAAGCGUGGGGAGCAAACAGGAUUAGAUACCCUGGUAGUCCACGCCGUAAACGAUGACGAUUGGCCGUUUGGGGGCUUGACCCCUGAGUGGCGCAGCCAACGCGUGAAAUCGUCCGCCUGGGGAGUACGGUCGCAAGAUUAAAACUCAAAGGAAUUGACGGGGACCCGCACAAGCGGUGGAUGAUGUGGAUUAAUUCGAUGCAACGCGAAGAACCUUACCCAGCCUUGACAUGUCGGGGCGCCCGAAGAGAUUCGGGCUUGCCGCAAGGAACCCGAGCACAGGUGCUGCAUGGCUGUCGUCAGCUCGUGUCGUGAGAUGUUGGGUUAAGUCCCGCAACGAGCGCAACCCUUGCCGCCAAUUGCCAACGGUUCGGCCGGGCACUUUGGCGGGACCGCCGGCGACAAGCCGGAGGAAGGCGGGGAUGACGUCAAGUCCUCAUGGCCCUUAUGGCUGGGGCCUCACACGUCAUACAAUGGCCGAGACAGAGGGUCGCGAAGCCGCGAGGCGGAGCCAAUCCCUAAAACUCGGUCUCAGUCCGGACCGCAGUCUGCAACUCGACUGCGCGAAGUCGGAAUCGCUAGUAAUCGCGGAUCAGCAUGCCGCGGUGAAUACGU